UGACGAAGUUUGAAAGAAGUUCGGAAUAGGGUCAUCCACGGCCGGAAGAAGUCCGAAAGAAAUUCGGAGAGUAGUUGAUUACUGUAGAAGGUCGGCUGGCAGUGAGGCCAAGAGAGCUUUUGGGGUGGCCCGAUAGAUGAAUGCUGAAGUUCAUUAUCGAAGAAGUCCGAAAGGUCGAGGGGGUUCAGAGAGACGCCACACACAAGGUCGGA
rnacentral:lncRNA from 1 species